rnacentral:rRNA from 1 species
CCUACGGGUGGCAGCAGUGAGGAAUAUUGGUCAAUGGGCGAGAGCCUGAACCAGCCAAGUCGCGUGAAGGAAGACAGUCCUAAGGAUUGUAAACUUCUUUUAUACGGGAAUAACGGGCGAUACGAGUAUUGCAUUGAAUGUACCGUAAGAAUAAGCAUCGGCUAACUCCGUGCCAGCAGCCGCGGUAAUACGGAGGAUGCGAGCGUUAUCCGGAUUUAUUGGGUUUAAAGGGUGCGUAGGUUGUUCGGUAAGUCAGCGGUGAAACCUGAGCGCUCAACGUUCAGCCUGCCGUUGAAACUGCCGGGCUUGAGUUCAGUGGCGGCAGGCGGAAUUCGUGGUGUAGCGGUGAAAUGCAUAGAUAUCACGAGGAACUCCGAUUGCGAAGGCAGCUUGCCAUACUGCGACUGACACUGAAGCACGAAGGCGUGGGUAUCAAACAGGAUUAGAUACCCCAGUAGUC